AAUGAGUGUAGGGUUAGAUAGUAGAUGGUAAUGAGUGUAGGGUUAGAUGGUAGAUGGUAAUGAGUGUAGGGUUAGAUGGUAGAUGGUAAUGAGUGUAGGGUUAGAUGGUAGAUGGUAAUGAGUGUAGGGGUAGAUGGUAGGUGGUAAUGAGUGUAGGGGUAGAUGGUAGAUGGUAAUGAGUGUAGGGUUAGAUGGUAGAUGGUAAUGAGUGUAGGGUUAGAUGGUAGAUGGUAAUGAGUGUAGGGUUAGAUGGUAGAUGGUAGGGUAUUUAAAUAGUGUAGUAGGGUGGUAGAUGGUAAUGAGUGUAGGGGUAGAUGGUAGGGUAUUUAAAUAGUGUAGUAGGGUGGUAGAUGGUAAUGAGUGUAGGGGUAGAUGGUAGGGUAUUUAAAUAGUGUAGUAGGGUGGUAGAUGGUAAUGAGUGUAGGGUUAGAUGGUAGAGUAUUUAAAUAGUGUAGUAGGGUGGUAGAUGGUAAUGAGUGUAGGGGUAGAUGGUAGAGUAUUUAAAUAGUGUAGUAGGGUGGUAGAUGGUAAUGAGUGUAGGGUUAGAUGGUAGGGUAAUUAAAUAGUGUAGUAGGGUGGUAGGUUGGUAAUGAGUGUAGGGUUAGAUGGUAAUGAGUGCAGGGUUAGAUGGUAGAUGGUAGGGUAUUUAAAUAGUGUAGUAGGAUGGUAGAUGGUAAUGAGUGUAGGGUUAGAUGGUAGGUGGUAAUGAGUGUAGGGUUAGAUGGUAGGUGGUAAUGAGUGUAGGGUUAGAUGGUAGAUGGUAAUGAGUGUAGGGUUAGAUGGUAGAUGGUAAUGAGUGUAGGGUUAGACGGUAGAUGGUAAUGAGUGUAGGGUUAGAUGGUAGAUGGUAAUGAGUGUAGGGUUAGACGGUAGGUGGUAAUGAGUGUAGGGUUAGAUGGUAGGUGGUAAUGAGUGUAGGGUUAGAUGGUAGGUGGUAAUGAGUGUAGGGUUAGAUGGUAGGUGGUAAUGAGUGUAGGGUUAGAUGGUAGAUGGUAAUGAGUGUAGGGUUAGAUGGUAGAUGGUAAUGAGUGUAGGGUUAGAUGGUAGAUGGUAAUGAGUGUAGGGUUAGAUGGUAGGUGGUAAUGAGUGUAUGGUUAGAUGGUAGGUGGUAAUGAGUGUAGGGUUAGAUGGUAGAUGGUAAUGAGUGUAGGGUUAGAUGGUAGAUGGUAAUGAGUGUAGGGUUAGAUGGUAGAUGGUAGGGUAUUUAAAUAGUGUAGUAGGGUGGUAGAUGGUAAUGAGUGUAGGGUUAGAUGGUAGAUGGUAAUGAGUGUAGGGUUAGAUGGUAGGUGGUAAUGAGUGUAGCGUUAGAUGGUAGAUGGUAAUGAGUGUAGGGUUAGAUGGUAGGUGGUAAUGAGUGUAGGGUUAGAUGGUAGGUGGUAAUGAGUGUAGGGUUAGAUGGUAGAUGGUAAUGAGUGUAGGGUUAGAUGGUAGGUAGUAAUGAGUGUAGGGUUAGAUGGUAGGUGGUAAUGAGUGUAGGGUUAGAUGGUAGAUGGUAAUGAGUGUAGGGUUAGAUGGUAGAUGGUAAUGAGUGUAGGGUUAGAUGGUAGAUGGUAAUGAGUGUAGGGUUAGAUGGUAGGUGGUAAUGAGUGUAGGGUUAGAUGGUAGGUGGUAAUGAGUGUAGGGUUAGAUGGUAGAUGGUAAUGAGUGUAGGGUUAGAUGGUAGAUGGUAAUGAGUGUAGGGUUAGAUGGUAGGUGGUAAUGAGUGUAGGGUUAGAUGGUAGGUGGUAAUGAGUGUAGGGUUAGAUGGUAGGUAGUAAUGAGUGUAGGGUUAGAUGGUAGGUGGUAAUGAGUGUAGGGUUAGAUGGUAGGUGGUAAUGAGUGUAGGGUUAGAUGGUAGGUGGUAAUGAGUGUAGGGUUAGAUGGUAGGUGGUAAUGAGUGUAGGGGUAGAUGGUAGAUGGUAGGGUAUUUAAAUAGUGAAGUAGGGUGGUAGGUGGUAAUGAGUGUAGGGUUAGAUGGUAGGUGGUAAUGAGUGUAGGGUUAGAUGGUAGAUGGUAAUGAGUGUAGGGUUAGAUGGUAGGGUAUUUAAAUAGUGUAGUAGGGUGGUAGAUGGUAAUGAGUGUAGGGUUAGAUGGUAGAUGGUAAUGAGUGUAGGGUUAGAUGGUAGAUGGUAAUGAGUGUAGGGUUAGAUGGUAGGUAGUAAUGAGUGUAGGGUUAGAUGGUAGGUAGUAAUGAGUGUAGGGUUAGAUGGUAGAUGGUAAUGAGUGUAGGGUUAGAUGGUAGAUGGUAAUGAGUGUAGGGUUAGAUGGUAGAUGGUAAUGAGUGUAGGGUUAGAUGGUAGAUGGUAAUGAGUGUAGGGUUAGAUGGUAGGUGGUAAUGAGUGUAGGGUUAGAUGGUAGAUGGUAAUGAGUGUAGGGUUAGAUGGUAGAUGGUAAUGAGUGUAUGGUUAGAUGGUAGAUGGUAGGGUAUUUAAAUAGUGUACUAGGGUGGUAGAUGGUAAUGAGUGUAGGGUUAGAUGGUAGAUGGUAAUGAGUGUAGGGUUAGAUGGCAGAUGGUAAUGAGUGUAGGGUUAGAUGGUAGAUGGUAAUGAGUGUAGGGUUAGAUGGCAGAUGGUAAUGAGUGUAGGGUUAGAUGGUAGAUGGUAGGAAUAUUUGUUGAUUUAUUCAUUUUUAGUUUCAAGCAAAGUGUAAAGGAGUUAAACUCCAGUCUAGUAAGUGGCGGUAAUGCAACAUUUAUUGGAUGCCCAACACUGUUAAACCUCCUCGAUAAAGGUGAAAAAUAAUAAAUAAUAAUAAAUAAUAAUAAAGGUGAAGAAAAGAAAAUGGAAGAAGAACGUUGAACUGCACCGCUAGAUGGCAGCAGAUCACCUGGUGUCAAGCAGUCUGAUAGCGCAGAGGUUUGGUCCAAGAAGACCUGUAGUCUGUGAUGUUAUUCCCUCCUCCUCCUCCAUGUGAUGUUAUUCCCUCCUCCUCCUCUAUGUGAUGUUAUUCCCUCCUCCUCCUCCUCCGUGUGAUGUUAUUCCCUCCUCCAUGUGAUGUUAUUCCCUCCUCCUCCUCCUCCAUGUGAUGUUAUUCCCUCCUCCUCCUCCAUGUGAUGUUAUUC
rnacentral:lncRNA from 1 species